CCUACGGGAGGCAGCAGUGGGGAAUCUUGCACAAUGGAGGAAACUCUGAUGCAGCGAUGCCGCGUGAGUGAAGAAGGCCUUUGGGUUGUAAAGCUCUUUUGUAGGGGAAGAUAAUGACUGUACCCUAAGAAUAAGGUCCGGCUAACUUCGUGCCAGCAGCCGCGGUAAUACGAAGGGACCUAGCGUAGUUCGGAAUUACUGGGCGUAAAGCGCGCGUAGGCCGUUGAGUUAGUUAAUUGUGAAAUCCCAAAGCUUAACUUUGGAACUGCAAUUAAAACUGCUCGACUAGAGUUUGAUAGAGGAAAGCGGAAUACAUAGUGUAGAGGUGAAAUUCGUAGAUAUUAUGUAGAACACCAGUUGCGAAGGCGGCUUUCUGGAUCAACACUGACGCUGAAGCGCGAAAGUAUGGGUAGCAAAGAGGAUUAGAUACCCUCGUAGUCCAUACCAUAAACGAUGAUUGCUAGAUGUUGGAAAUUUAUUUUCAGUAUCGCAGCUAACGCAUUAAGCAAUCCGCCUGGGGAGUACGACCGCAAGGUUAAAACUCAAAGGAAUUGACGG
rnacentral:rRNA from 1 species